rfam:Ovis aries breed Texel chromosome 6, whole genome shotgun sequence.
GUUAAUGUAGCUUAAACUUAAAGCAAGGCACUGAAAAUGCCUAGAUGAGUGUACCGACUCCAUAAACA